GACGUAGGGCGCAAGCGUUGUCCGGAUUUAUUGGGCGUAAAGAGCUCGUAGGCGGCUUGUUGCGUCGACUGUGAAAACCCGUGGCUCAACCAUGUGGUCUGCAGUCGAUACGGGCAGGCUAGAAUUCGGUAGGGGAGACUGGAAUUCUUGGUGUAGCGGUGAAAUGCGCAGAUAUCAGGAGGAACACCGGUGGCGAAGGCGGGUCUCUGGGCCGAUAUUGACGCUGAGACGCGAAAGCGUGGGGAGCGAACAGG
rnacentral:rRNA from 1 species